GUACAACUCCUGCGGGAGGCAGCAGUGGGGAAUUUUGGACAAUGGGCGAAAGCCUGAUCCAGCAAUGCCGCGUGAGUGAAGAAGGCCUUCGGGUUGUAAAGCUCUUUUGUCAGGGAAGAAACGGUGAGAGCUAAUAUCUCUUGCUAAUGACGGUACCUGAAGAAUAAGCACCGGCUAACUACGUGCCAGCAGCCGCGGUAAUACGUAGGGUGCAAGCGUUAAUCGGAAUUACUGGGCGUAAAGCGUGCGCAGGCGGUUUUGUAAGUCUGAUGUGAAAUCCCCGGGCUCAACCUGGGAAUUGCAUUGGAGACUGCAAGGCUAGAAUCUGGCAGAGGGGGGUAGAAUUCCACGUGUAGCAGUGAAAUGCGUAGAUAUGUGGAGGAACACCGAUGGCGAAGGCAGCCCCCUGGGUCAAGAUUGACGCUCAUGCACGAAAGCGUGGGGAGCAAACAGGAUUAGAAACCCGAGUAGUCCCA
rnacentral:rRNA from 1 species